GCGCGAAAACUUUGCAAUGCGGGAAACCGUGACAAGGGAACUCUGAGUGCCCGUUAAAUCGGGCUGUCCAUCGGUUUAAAUAACCGGUGAAGAAAGGGCCGGGCAAGACCGGUGCCAGCCGCCGCGGUAAUACCGGCGGCUCGAGUGGUGGCCACUAUUACUGGGCUUAAAGCGUUCGUAGCUGGUUUGUUAAGUCUCUGGGGAAAUCUUCCGGCUUAACCGGAAGGCGUUUCAGGGAUACUGGCAGACUAGGGACCGGGAGAGGUGAGAGGUACUCCAGGGGUAGGAGUGAAAUCCGUGUAAUCCUUGGGGGACCACCGUGUGGCGAAGGCGUCUCACCAGAACGGCUCCGACAGUGAGGGACGAAAGCUGGGGGANCGAAACCGGAUUAGAGACCCU
rnacentral:rRNA from 1 species